AGCGAACGUUAGCGGCGGGCCUAACACAUGCAAGUCGAGCGAGAAAGGGGCUUCGGCCCUGAGUAAAGCGGCGGACGGGUGAGUAACACGUAGGUAAUCUUCCUUCGAGCGGGGGACAACGGGCCGAAAGGACCGCUAAUACCGCGUACGUUCCCGAGGACCCUGGUCCUUGGGAGGAAAGCUAGGUCGCAAGAUCCCGCACUCGGAGAGGAGCCUGCGUCGCAUCAGCUAGUUGGUGGGGUAAUGGCCUACCAAGGCGAAGACGCGUAGCUGGUCUGAGAGGAUGAUCAGCCACACUGGGACUGAGACACGGCCCAGACUCCUACGGGAGGCAGCAGUGGGGAAUAUUGGACAAUGGGCGCAAGCCUGAUCCAGCCACGCCGCGUGAGUGAUGAAGGCCUUCGGGUCGUAAAGCUCUGUGGGGAGGGACGAACCGCUGCGCGUGCAUAGCGUGCAGCAUGACGGUACCUCCUUAGCAAGCACCGGCUAACUUCGUGCCAGCAGCCGCCGUAA
rnacentral:rRNA from 1 species